rnacentral:tRNA from 1 species
GUGACUGAAGCCAAAGAGUCGAGGCGCUAGUUUGUGACACUAGUAUUAGCGGGUUCGAGUCCCGUCAGUCACCCCA